rnacentral:rRNA from 1 species
AUUGAACGCUAGCGGGAUGCCUUACACAUGCAAGUCGAACGGCAGCGCGGACUUCGGUCUGGCGGCGAGUGGCGAGCGGGUGAGUAACGUAUCGGAACGUGCCCAGUAGCGGGGGAUAACUACUCGAAAGAGUAGCUAAUACCGCAUACGCCCUACGGGGGAAAGGGGGGGAUCGCAAGACCUCUCACUAUUGGAGCGGCCGAUAUCGGAUUAGCUAGUUGGUGAGGUAAAGGCUCACCAAGGCGACGAUCCGUAGCCGGUUUGAGAGGACGACCAGCCACACUGGGACUGAGACACGGCCCAGACUCCUACGGGAGGCAGCAGUGGGGAAUUUUGGACAAUGGGGGAAACCCUGAUCCAGCCAUUCCGCGUGUGCGAUGAAGGCCUUCGGGUUGUAAAGCACUUUUGGCAGGAAAGAAAUCGCAUCAAUUAAUACUUGGUGUGGAUGACGGUACCUGCAGAAUAAGCACCGGCUAACUACGUGCCAGCAGCCGCAGUAA